CUCGAGCGGCGAACGGGUGAGUAACACGUGAGUAAUCUGCCCCUCACUUCGGGAUAGCCACCGGAAACGGUGAUUAAUACCGGAUAUGACAUAGGCUCGCAUGGGUUUGUGUGGAAAGUUUUUCGGUGAGGGAUGUGCUCGCGGCCUAUCAGCUUGAUGGUGAGGUAAUGGCUCACCAUGGCUUCGACGGGUAGCCGGCCUGAGAGGGUGACCGGUCACACUGGGACUGAGACACGGCCCAGACUCCUACGGGAGGCAGCAGUGGGGAAUAUUGGACAAUGGGCGGAAGCCUGAUCCAGCAACGCCGCGUGAGGGAUGACGGCCUUCGGGUUGUAAACCUCUUUCAGUACCGACGAAGCGAGAGUGACGGUAGGUACAGAAGAAGCACCGGCCAACUACGUGCCAGCAGCCGCGGUAAUACGUAGGGUGCGAGCGUUGUCCGGAAUUAUUGGGCGUAAAGGGCUCGUAGGCGGUUUGUCGCGUCGGGAGUGAAAACGCCGUGCUUAACACGGCGCUUGCUUUCGAUACGGGCAGACUGGAGGUAUGCAGGGGAGAACGGAAUUCCUGGUGUAGCGGUGAAAUGCGCAGAUAUCAGGAGGAACACCGGUGGCGAAGGCGGUUCUCUGGGCAUUACCUGACGCUGAGGAGCGAAAGUGUGGGGAGCGAACAGGAUUAGAUACCCUGGUAGUCCACACCGUAA
rnacentral:rRNA from 1 species